UACGUAGGUGGCAAGCGUUAUCCGGAUUUGCUGGGUGUAAAGGGCGUGUAGGCGGGAAAGCAAGUCAGGUGUGAAAACCAUGGGCUCAACCUGUGGCCUGCAUUUGAAACUGUUUUUCUUGAGUACUGGAGAGGCAGACGGAAUUCCUAGUGUAGCGGUGAAAUGCGUAGAUAUUAGGAGGAACACCAGUGGCGAAGGCGGUCUGCUGGACAGCAACUGACGCUGAGGCGCGAAAGCGUGGGGAGCAAACAGG
rnacentral:rRNA from 1 species